rnacentral:rRNA from 1 species
AGCGAACGCUGGCGGCAGGCUUAACACAUGCAAGUCGAGCGGGCAUAGCAAUAUGUCAGCGGCAGACGGGUGAGUAACGCGUGGGAACGUACCUUUUGGUUCGGAACAACUGAGGGAAACUUCAGCUAAUACCGGAUAAGCCCUUACGGGGAAAGAUUUAUCGCCGAAAGAUCGGCCCGCGUCUGAUUAGCUAGUUGGUGAGGUAAUGGCUCACCAAGGCGACGAUCAGUAGCUGGUCUGAGAGGAUGAUCAGCCACAUUGGGACUGAGACACGGCCCAAACUCCUACGGGAGGCAGCAGUGGGGAAUAUUGGACAAUGGGCGCAAGCCUGAUCCAGCCAUGCCGCGUGAGUGAUGAAGGCCCUAGGGUUGUAAAGCUCUUUUGUGCGGGAAGAUAAUGACAGUACCGCAAGAAUAAGCCCCGGCUAACUUCGUGC